GGGACUGUGGUGUAGCUUGGUCUAGCAUCUGAGCUUCGGGAGCUCAAGACCUGGGUUCGAAUCCCAGCAGUCCCA
rnacentral:tRNA from 1 species